GUGGGGAAUUUUGGACAAUGGGCGAAAGCCUGAUCCAGCCAUGCCGCGUGCAGGAUGAAGGCCUUCGGGUUGUAAACUGCUUUUGUAUGGAACGAAAAGACUCUGGUUAAUACCUGGGGUCCAUGACGGUACCGUAAGAAUAAGCACCGGCUAACUACGUGCCAGCAGCCGCGGUAAUACGUAGGGUGCAAGCGUUAAUCGGAAUUACUGGGCGUAAAGCGUGCGCAGGCGGUUAUAUAAGACAGAUGUGAAAUCCCCGGGCUCAACCUGGGAACUGCAUUUGUGACUGUAUAGCUAGAGUACGGCAGAGGGGGAUGGAAUUCCGCGUGUAGCAGUGAAAUGCGUAGAUAUGCGGAGGAACACCGAUGGCGAAGGCAAUCCCCUGGGCCUGUACUGACGCUCAUGCACGAAAGCGUGGGGAGCAAACAGGAUUAGAUACCCGAGUAGUCC
rnacentral:rRNA from 1 species